AUGAUUCAUGCGGAACGCUGGGUUGAAAUCCAAGCAGAAGCCAGGGAUUGGUUCAAGAAACAGGCUGAAGACAAAAAAGCAAGGGAGAUCGAGCCACCGCUAGUAGAUCGAAGAGAAUUAAAUUUUUUUUAUGAGGAUGCAAGAAGGAGCCAAAAAGAGGAUACCACUACUAUCGAACUACGAACGGGCGUUAGUCAAGGCUGAUGAGAGGAAAAAAAGGAAAGGAAAGUCAUCUUCCAGUGGUGCUGUCCCCGACCUUGAGCAUCUACCAGAAAAAGACG
rnacentral:lncRNA from 1 species